UCUCCGGAUCUUGGCAGUAAGUUCUAUAGGAUUUGAGCAGUGUUGAGGCAUCAGGGAAUAUGGGUAAGACAUUGUUGGAGAAAGCCCUAAUCGCUGUGAUCUUCCUUUUGUGUGAUCCAGAGGACCUUGACGCGAGACAAGUUUCUUAACGUCCGGAUUUGGACUGAUUGGAUCUUUC